rnacentral:rRNA from 1 species
GACGAACGCUGGCGGCGUGCCUAAUACAUGCAAGUCGAACGAGAGCGACCGGUGCUUGCACUGGUCAAUCUAGUGGCGAACGGGUGAGUAACACGUGGGUAACCUGCCCAUCAGAGGGGGAUAACAUCCGGAAACGGAUGCUAAAACCGCAUAGGUCUUCGAGCCGCAUGGCCUGAAGAGGAAAAGAGGCGCAAGCUUCUGCUGAUGGAUGGAACCGCGGUGCAUUAGCUAGUUGGUGAGGUAACGGCUCACCAAGGCCGUGAUGCAUAGCCGACCUGAGAGGGGGAUCGGCCACAUUGGGACUGAGACACGGCCCAAACUCCUACGGGAGGCAGCAGUAGGGAAUCUUCCGCAAUGGACGAAAGUCUGACGGAGCAACGCCGCGUGAGUGAAGAAGGUUUUCGGAUCGUAAAACUCUGUUGUUAGAGAAGAACAAGUGCUAGAGUAACUGUUAGCGCCUUGACGGUAUCUAACCAGAAAGCCACGGCUAACUACGUGCCAGCAGCCGCCGUAA